AAGCAUGGUGACGUAGCAAGCCAUAUAAAUACGAUGUCGCUAGAAUAUGACGUUCUUCGUGGAGACGGUUGCUUAGCGGUCGCCUUCCCUUCUCGCCAUGAGAGCCAAGUGGAGAAAGAAGCGCAUGCGCAGACUGAAGCGCAAAAGGAGAAAGAUGAGGCAGAGGUCCAAGUAAACUGUCCUGUCCACCAUGGCUGUGACAUCAGAUGUUGCCAACUCCAAGACCGGUGAGCACAUCUGGAGAUCCAGGACCCCUCCCAGCCAAGUCUGAGGCCAGUGCCAUCCGUAUCAACCUGAGGCAGUGGAGCUGCAGCAGCAGCUGAUUGAUGCUGGAGACCUCAUUCAAAACCUGCUGGAUGUCGGGCUUUUCCUCUGGGACAUUCUGGACUCUUGGUUCUUAAUUCCUUAACUUUUGUCAUUUCUUUUUGUUAAUACUGUGAUUAAAGGUUUUGGUUUAAAAAAAA